UACGGAGGGGGCUAGCGUUGUUCGGAAUUACUGGGCGUAAAGCGCACGUAGGCGGCUUUGCAAGUCAGAGGUGAAAGCCCGGGGCUCAACCCCGGGAUUGCCUUUGAGACUGCAUCGCUAGAAUUGUGGAGAGGUAAGUGGAAUUCCGAGUGUAGAGGUGAAAUUCGUAGAUAUUCGGAAGAACACCAGUGGCGAAGGCGACUUACUGGACACAUAUUGACGCUGAGGUGCGAAAGCGUGGGGAGCAAACAGG
rnacentral:rRNA from 1 species